UACGUAGGUGGCAAGCGUUGUCCGGAAUUACUGGGUGUAAAGGGAGCGCAGGCGGGUGAUCAAGUCAGCUGUGAAAACUACGGGCUUAACCCGUAGACUGCAGUUGAAACUGUUCAUCUUGAGUGAAGUAGAGGUUGGCGGAAUUCCGAGUGUAGCGGUGAAAUGCGUAGAUAUUCGGAGGAACACCGGUGGCGAAGGCGGCCAACUGGGCUUUAACUGACGCUGAGGCUCGAAAGUGUGGGGAGCAAACAGGAUUAGAGACCCCGGGAGGCGGCUGACUGACU
rnacentral:rRNA from 1 species